AAUAGGUUUUCCUAUACUUGCUGAUAUAUUCAGUGACAGAGCCAUUGGAAAGUAAAUUUCUUGACGUAGAGUAGUGAACGCAUAUUCAUGGCUGAUAUGCGGAUACCGGAUACCUUUAGUAGUCCAGGGCCCAGGAUUUGCGAUGUUUUGGCUUAAUUGUAAUUAAAGGAAAUGCUUUGUUGAACUUAAGGACAUAAAAGCAUAUUAAAAAAAUCACUGAAAAGUGAUAAUUUUAAAAUUACAGGAAAGUGCCACUCGGAGGUUAAGCAAAAUUAAAUUAAAACUUGUAGCUACUUUAGUUUUUUCAAUUUAUAAAUCUAGUUUAAAUUAAACUAAAAAGAAAUAUAUCUUUUUUGUAAACAAACACAUUUAACGGCUAAACAGCUGGCUCCGGUUGGAUGAUACUGCGCAGGACGAGUGUAAUAUCCACCACCGUCUCGGAGGUAGGUGUAGAAAAGUGUUACACUUUUUUUCCUACAGCAUUUCAAAGAAACGAGUUGUACGCGUUCUACGACAGAAGUUGAGUGUAUCGUGAAAAAAAGUGUAAACACUAGAAAAACAAAGAAACAAGAAAGUGUAACACUUUUACACUUUUCUUACACUUUUCAAGAACUAGUGUUACACUUAAAACAAAGGAACAGACCUUAUAUUGACAUAGAGAGAGUGUCAUUCGGAGCGAAGUGACGACACCAUCUUUUUUCUUUGGAUUAGUGCUACUUCACUCUUACACAUAGUAAAGCUGCGACAGUAUGAUAAACGUCAUUUUUAAGUUAGGAGAAGUACGAAGUUAGCUGAUGUCUUUCCUGUUAUUUUUAUUUAGUCACUGUUUACAUUGGACAUUGACAUUUAUUUGUACAGAUGUUGUUAGACGAAUAUUCUGUUUGGUUUUGUUUUUUAUUGUUAAUUGUGCAGCGAAAUUGUGAUAGUAAAUUAAAUAUAAAGUUGUUUAUAGCCUACAGAACUGAAUUAUCCCAUAGUAAUUAUCAGUUUGUGUCAAUUUGUUUGUGUGCAAAAAAGAAAAAACACCUUUCCUUGUGUUUGACCGACUUGUAGCAAGGGCUUUCUUGAGAAGCCUGUAAAUUGCGGGAAUAGGACAGACAGGGAUAAAAUCCUCACUUUUUACUGUUCCCAAGGCUAUACAUUUCCCCCAUGCAAUACAUUUAAAUGAAUUUUAUCCAAACAAAGGCAGGAACAUUGGAUAAAAGCAAUAAAGAGAACAGACCACAAAUUAAAAUAUGAGAGUAUGUAGUAAACAUUUUAUAAGUGGAAUAAACACCAGCUAUUUUAAAUGUAGGAAAAGGAGAAACUGCUGGAAUCUAAUUUUACACAAAUGUUUUUGACUAUUGAAGAUUUGGAUAAACAACAGAAGUUACUUUGGGCUAUAGCUAUGUGCAGAUUUAUUUCCUUGUGGAUUACUAUGUUUAUUCUUUUUAACUAUACUUCCUAUAUUGUUUGUGAGAUUAAUAUUAUUAUUUAAUUGAUUAUAUUAAUAUUUUGUAAUAAUAAUCAAUGCUUUGGUUUAACAAAUAGACAACUUAGAAUAGAAAAA
rnacentral:lncRNA from 1 species